UACGUAGGGGGCAAGCGUUAUCCGGAUUUACUGGGUGUAAAGGGAGCGUAGACGGUUAUGUAAGUCUGAAGUGAAAGCCCGGGGCCCAACCCCGGGACUGCUUUGGAAACUGUGUAACUAGAGUACAGGAGGGGCAGGCGGAAUUCCUGGUGUAGCGGUGAAAUGCGUAGAUAUCAGGAGGAACACCGGCGGCGAAGGCGGCCUGCUGGACUGAAACUGACGUUGAGGCUCGAAAGCGUGGGAAGCAAACAGG
rnacentral:rRNA from 1 species